rfam:Gossypium hirsutum cultivar TM-1 unplaced genomic scaffold scaffold1650.1, whole genome shotgun sequence
UGUUAAAAAUUUCAUCAAUUUUUACUUUUAAAAACUGCAGUGGCCGACAAAAUGACCAGAUAGUAAAAUGUGGUGCACUACAUGUACCUUAUGUUGACGUACAAAAACUAAUUUUUAAUAGUAAAAAUAGAUGAAAUUUUUAACU